CAAGAUCUAGAGGUGGCAACGGUGCCCAUCUGUAGGUCACCUGAAAAUGACGCAAUGAUGUGUUGCAUAUCUAUCAAGUAGAAGUCAUCAGGAGGAAUUGGGAAUGGCGAUCGACAUGCUCUGCCAUCCCUAUCUCUGACGACAAGCUGGGCCUGUUGGAGAUGCUGUGAGAAUAACGCAUGCAUGCACAGGGGGAAGCAGACUCACGACAAGGUCUUCACACGUGCACAUAGAAGCAGAGCAGCUGG